GACGAACGCUGGCGGCGUGCUUAACACAUGCAAGUCGAACGAUGAACCCGGAGCUUGCUCCGGUGGAUUAGCGGCGAACGGGUGAGUAACACGUGAGCAAUCUGCCCUUGACUCUGGGAUAACUGCGGGAAACUGUAGCUAAUACCGGAUACGACACCUUGGGGCAUCCCAGGGUGUGGAAAGAAUUAUGGUCAAGGAUGAGCUCGCGGCCUAUCAGCUAGUUGGUGAGGUAAUGGCUCACCAAGGCGACGACGGGUAGCCGGCCUGGGAGGGUGACCGGCCACACUGGAACUGAGACACGGUCCAGACUCCUACGGGAGGCAGCAGUGGGGAAUAUUGCACAAUGGGCGAAAGCCUGAUGCAGCAACGCCGCGUGAGGGAUGAAGGCCUUCGGGUUGUAAACCUCUUUUAGCAGGGAAGAAGCGAAAGUGACGGUACCUGCAGAAAAAGCACCGGCUAACUACGUGCCAGCCGCCGCCGUAA
rnacentral:rRNA from 1 species